GCCGAAGUGGUGGAACUGGUAGACACGCAGCGUUCAGAGCGCUGUGGGCAUCAGCCCGUAGGAGUUCAACUCUCCUCUUCGGCA
rnacentral:tRNA from 4 species